rnacentral:pre_miRNA from 14 species
GUUACUCAAAGGAUCGUGCGCUGGCUGAUUCCACGAGCCUCACGACCACGGCUGUCACAAUCUAUGAAUGGCUUUGUUCGUUCGGCUCGCGUGAUUAAACGGCGCUUUUGCAACUCAUCUUCUG